ACGAAAGUCUGAUGGAGCAAUACCAUGUGAACGAUGAAGGUCUUCUGAUUGUAAAGUUCUUUUAUUUAGGAAAAAAAGCUUGAGAGGAAAUGAUUAAGCCUUGAUUGUACUAAAUGAAUAAGUGACAGCUAACUAUGUGCCAGCAGCUGCGGUAAAACAUAGGUCACGAGCAUUAUCCGGAUUUAUUGGGCGU
rnacentral:rRNA from 1 species